CUCUGCUCGAUCCCUGCCGAGUGAAAGAGAUCUUUGGUUUUGCCUUUGCUGACUGCUGAUCUGAUCGUCUCAAGUCUGGUGACCUGCUGCAGAAAACCCUCUCCCUCUAUCGUUGACAAGCAAUUAACAAGCAAUUUCAGUCUGUCCUAUCACUCUCCCUCUCCCUGCUCCAUCUUUUUUGACAAGCCAUUCUAUCUUCUAUCAUUUCUCCGCCAUGAGCUCUAUCUAAUUUUGACAAGCUUGAACCUGUGUUGACAAGAAAUCUAAGUUUGACAAGAAAUCUAAGUUUGACAAGAAACCAAGUUUUUGGAAAUUGAAGUUACCACAACUUCGUCGAUCUGUUUUCAGAAAUCUGAGAGAUCUCUGCUCUCACUGCUCCUUCUUUCCUGUCGUUAAACUCUCUCAUAUCUACUAAUUUUGCUGGAAAUUGCAAGUAGAAAGUUGAAUAUACAGUAGUAGAAUUACAGUACAGUAGAUUUUACAGUACAAACUACUUACACAGCCCCACAUUUAUAGUUUUGACUUGGCAUUACACUGAUAGUUUGCCUUACAGGUGCAAUUACUUUGAUAAAUUAUAUAAAAUAUACACCUUUUUUGAGAUUUAUUUGUAGUAAGAUAAUCUGGUUAUUUUGUAAUACAUUCAGACUGCUAUAUUCAC